rnacentral:rRNA from 1 species
CUAGGAAUCUUGGGAAUGGGCGAAAGCCUGACCCAGCAACGCCGCGUGGGCGAUGAAGGCCUUAGGGUCGUAAAGCCCUUUUGCGGGGGACGAUGAUGACGGUACCCCGCGAAUAAGCCACGGCUAACUACGUGCCAGCAGCCGCGGUAAUACGUAGGUGGCAAGCGUUGUCCGGAUUUACUGGGCGUAAAGGGCGCGCAGGCGGUUUGUCUAGUCUAGGGUGAAAGCUCCCGGCUCAACUGGGAGAGGUCCUUGGAUACUGGCAGACUCGAGGGAGGCAGAGGAAAGUGGAAUUCCCGGUGUAGUGGUGAUAUGCGUAGAUAUCGGGAGGAACACCAGUGGCGAAGGCGGCUUUCUGGGCCUUACCUGACGCUGAGGCGCGAAAGCGUGGGGAGCGAACCGGAUUAGAUACCCGGGUAGUCCACGCCGUAAACGAUGGACACUAGGUGUGGGGGGUAUCGACCCCCUCCGUGCCGCAGCUAACGCAAUAAGUGUCCCGCCUGGGGAGUACGGCCGCAAGGC